rnacentral:rRNA from 1 species
GGGUCACGCCCCGGGUGCGUAAAAGCCCCGGAACCAGGCGCCCGCCGGAGGAACCAACCAAACUCUUUCUGUAGUCCCCUCGCGGACGUAUUUCUUACAGCUCUGAGCAAAAAUUCAAAAUGAAUCAAAACUUUCAACAACGGAUCUCUUGGUUCUGGCAUC